rnacentral:rRNA from 1 species
GACGAACGCUGGCGGCGUGCCUAAUACAUGCCAGUCGAGCGGACUGACUGGGAGCUUGCUCUUGUUCGGUCAGCGGCGGACGGGUGAGUAACACGUGGGCAACCUGCCCGCAAGACCGGGAUAACUCCGGGAAACCGGAGCUAAUACCGGAUAACACCGAAGACCGCAUGGUCUUUGGUUGAAAGGCGGCGCAAGCUGCCACUUGCGGAUGGGCCCGCGGCGCAUUAGCUAGUUGGUGAGGUAACGGCUCACCAAGGCGACGAUGCGUAGCCGGCCUGAGGGGGUGACCGGCCACACUGAGACUGAGACACGGCCCAGACUCCUACGGGAGGCAGCAGUAGGGAAUCUUCCGCAAUGGGCGAAAGCCUGACGGAGCGACGCCGCGUGAGCGAAGAAGGCCGUCGGGUCGUAAAGCUCUGUUGUGAGGGACGAAGGAGCGCCGUUUGAAGAAGGCGGCGCGGUGACGGUACCUCACGAGGAAGCCCCGGCUAACUACGUG